UGGGGAAAUUGCAAAUGGGCGCAACCCUGAUCAGCAAUGCCGCGUGAUGAAGAAACCUUCGGGUUGUAAAGCUCUUUUGUCAAGAAGAAACGGUAGUAGCUAAAUCUACUACAAAAACGGUACCUGAAGAAAAGCACCGGCUAACUACGUG
rnacentral:rRNA from 1 species